AAAAAAUAAAAUGGUAAUAGGUAGUAAUAUUGGGGGGGGUUUAAAUAGCAACAAUAGUGGCCCAGCAACAUUUAUGGCCCAACAAAACAUAAGUAGACAAAAAAAUAAUCAUAAUUAGAUAAAAAAAAACAAAAACAUAUUUCAUAAUUAGAUAAAAAAAAAACAAAAAUAUAUUUCAUAAUUAGAUCAACAAAAAAAAAAUAUAUGUAUAUAUAUUUUUUAAAAAAAAAACAUAAUUAGAAAAGGGGUAAAUUGCGUCUAAACACUUUCUCUUUCACCCCUUCUUCACCCUUGAUCAACUUCAGCGAUUUCACUUCCUCAUCCUCCGAUUCCUCCCUUCACCGAAUCACCAAUUUCGUCACCGCACCGUGAAACUAAAGGGGAAUUUUUCGUCCUCCCUUCUUCUCUCUUUCUCGAUCUCUCUCAUUAAUGAAACUAAAGGGGAAAAUCAUAACCCUAAGAAAAAAAAUCAAAAUUCAAG
rnacentral:lncRNA from 1 species